rnacentral:rRNA from 1 species
GACGAACGCUGGCGGCGUGCUUAAUACAUGCAAGUCGAACGGACAGGCCCGGCUCUUGCUGCGCGCUCGAGUGGCGAACGGGUGAGUAACACGUGAGUAACCCCCCCUUGACUUUGUGAUAACUUCAGGAAACUGGGGCUAUUACCGGGUAUGAGCUCCUGCUGCAUGUUGGUGGUUGGUAAGAUUCGGCGGUUGGGGAUCGACUCGCGGCUUAUCAGCUUGUUGGUGAGGUAGUGGCUUACCAGGGCUUUGACGGGUAGCCGGCAUGAGAGGGUGACCAGCCACAUUGGGACUGCGGUACGGCGCAGACGCCUACGGGAGGCAGCAGUGGGAAAUCUUGCAGAAUGGGCGGACGCCUGAUGCAGCAACGCCGCGUGCGGGAUGACGGCUUUCGGGUUGUAAACCGAUUUCGCCGGUGAUGAAGCGUGAGUGACGGUAAUGGGUAAGGAAGCAACGGCUAACUACGUG